AGCUACUAUUUAACUUGUUCCAAGUUUUGCUAGAGUUCUGGAGAUUUUAUCUUUUGAAAAUCUAAAAAAAUGAUGAGAUCCUGUUUGACAUAAUACCUAGAGUCUUAUAAGAUAUAAAUAUUAAAACUAUGGGCACUUGCUUUGUUCAAGCCAUUGUUAAUUCUUGUAGUUUUGGUUGAGAGAAUUAUCAUGCUCCAAAGAUCAAGAUCUUUUUGUUUUAAAAAUAUAAAAGAUUCACUCUUCCGAAGUAUUAUUGCGUUAGAGGCAUGGGACUAUGCAAAAAUUUGAUUCGAAAAAAAGAGUGAGACGAGAGAUAAAAAUGGACAAGUGUCCGAAGUAGAAUUAGGGGUACAAAGAUACCCACCUG
rnacentral:lncRNA from 1 species